UACGGAGGGAGCUAGCGUUGUUCGGAAUCACUGGGCGUAAAGCGCGCGUAGGCGGCUUGCCAAGUCAGGGGUGAAAUCCUGGGGCUUAACCCCAGAAUUGCCUUUGAAACUGGCGAGCUAGAGUACUGGAGGGGUUGGCGGAAUUCCUAAUGUAGAGGUGAAAUUCGUAGAUAUUAGGAGGAACACCGGUGGCGAAGGCGGCCAACUGGACAGUAACUGACGCUCUGGCGCGAAAGCGUGGGUAUCAAACAGG
rnacentral:rRNA from 1 species